AUUGAACGCUGGCGGCAGGCCUAACACAUGCAAGUCGAGCGCGCGGCGGACGGGUGAGUAAUGUAUGGGGACUGCCCGCUAGAGGGGGGUAACUCCUGGAAACGGUGGCUAAUACAGCAUACUGUAGGAUAACCCAUAUGGGAUUAGCUAGUAGGUAAGGUAAUGGCUUACCUAGGCGACGAUCCCUAGCUGGUCUGAGAGGAUGAUCAGCCACACUGGGACUGAGACACGGCCCAGACUCCUACGGAGGCAGCAGUGGGGAAUAUUGCACAAUGGGCGCAAGCCUGAUGCAGCCAUGCCGCGUGUAUGAAGAAGGCCCUAGGGUUGUAAAGUACUUUCAGUCGGGAGGCGUUACCGACAGAAGAAGCACCGGCUAACUCCGUGCCAGCAGCCGCGGUAAUAC
rnacentral:rRNA from 1 species